GGGUGUUAGGAAGAGAAGACAAGAAAAUCGAAAUGAAGCGAUGUUAUGUCAUCGACUUUUGUCUGACCUCUUGCUCGGAUGUUUACUGACCACAAGGUCUGAAUCUUAUUGAUGAUAAGAGAUGAAGUCCUAUUACUAACAUAGAAGGAAAAACUCUCUAAAAUCUCAGACAUGGGUACUGAUAUACCCUAAGAUGGAUC
rnacentral:lncRNA from 1 species